UCUACGGGUGGCAGCAGUGAGGAAUAUUGGUCAAUGGGCGUAAGCCUGAACCAGCCAAGUCGCGUGAGGGAUGAAGGUUCUAUGUAUCGUACACCUCUUUUAUAAGGGAAUAAAGUGUGGGACGUGUCCUCUUUUGUAUGUACCUUAUGAAUAAGGAUCGGCUAACUCCGUGCCAGCAGCCGCGGUAAUACGGAGGCUCCGAGCGUUAUCCGGAUUUAUUGGGUUUAAAGGGUGCGUAGGCGGCCUUUUAAGUCAGCGGUGAAAGUCUGUGGCUCAACCCCGGAAUUGCCGUUGAAACUGGGGGGCGUGAGUGGGUUUGAGGUAGGCGGAAUGCGUGGUGUAGCGGUGAAAUGCUUAGAUAUCACGCAGAACUCCGAUUGCGAAGGCAGCCUGCCAAGCCAUGACUGACGCUGAGGCACGAAAGCGUGGGGAUCAAACAGGAUUAGAUACCCGAGUAGUC
rnacentral:rRNA from 1 species